rnacentral:lncRNA from 1 species
GGAGCCUUUUGUACAGCAUUAAAUUGUGGGUGUGUGUGUGUGCGUGUGUGUGUGUGUGUGUGUAAUUUGCUACUCCAUUUUAUCUAACAGAAAUACGUGUAUAUUUUUAAUGUUCAUUUUUAUUUUUCAAGUUAAAAGCUCAAUGCAUCAGGACUUCAUUCUCUAAAUAAAUGUUUUUCUUUUAUCUUUUACAGUUGCAGGCACUCGAAGAACUUUUCACCAUUACCUUUGAUUUCCUGGAUUGCAGACCUGACACUCAGAGAUGACCUUGGCAUGCAAGGGAAUCUGUUUUGGCCCCUGAAUUUGGGAAGCAUCUGGUGGUCCCUGAGUUUGCAAAUGGAUCCAGACUUCCUUCAGUUCUCCUGCUUAGAGAUGGGAAAGGAAAAGAGAAAAGGGGGCUCUAACCCAUCACAUCUAAAAGCAGUGAGGAAGGAAUGAACCUGA